rnacentral:snRNA from 1 species
AUACUUACCUGGCAGGGGAGAUACCAUGAUCACGAGGUGGUUUCCCAGGGCGAGGUAUCCAUUACGCCUCGGAUGUGCUGACCCUGCGUUUCACAAAUGUGGGAAACUCGACUGCAUAAUUUGUGGUAGUGGGGGUCUGCGUUCGCGCAUUCCCCUG